UUUAUUAAAAAAAAAAUCCACUAGGUGCUAUUUGCCCCAUUCUUGAUGCAGCAGUGCUGAGGUUAGUUAAUUUGGGCCAUUUAGGAUUCUUAGCUGGGUUUUCUGGACAUUGAUUUCAGCCUCUUUAUCUUUUUUACAAUCUCUUCUUUUAUGUCGGCCUUUGGUCUUUUGACAACGUGGAAAUACUGCACGGAUCUGCCUUUCCCUUCUUUCCUGUCUUUGUGGGAAAAGAUUUCUGAAAGACAAACUACUAGGAUAUUAAGGAUUUUGUGUGGGUUAACAGGAAACAUAACACAGGACUCCAGAUUUAGGGAGAGAAUGCAAACAACUACUAUCAUACUCCAUCCAGUAAGAACAAGUGUCCCUGCGUCACCAAAGCAAUGAGAAUUUGCACAAAGAAAACACAGUUCUCCAAUUGUGACAAAUACGAGACCGUGAGCCAUGAGUUACGAGAACAAGCAACUGUUUAAAUGCCAUGGGCAAAUUUUUUUAUCAUCUUGAAAACAUCACUGAUGUUCUAGGAAGAAAUUCUGGAAGACGACUCCCUGACCUGAAGGGAUGGAUGGAGGAGUAAAGAAAAGAAGACAAGCAUUUUUGGCCCACAAAAAAUGAAAGGUAACCAGAUGGUGGCUAGUUUUCAUUGCACCUCUCUGGCCGCCCCAAUUUCACAUGCCCCUCCCAACUCAACUCAUCAGAAAUCGACUGAAGGAGACAGCUUUGCAAAUUUAUUGGAAGCCAAAGAAUUCGCUCCAGAAACAGUCUCCCAAACCCAGCGAGAACACUGAAAACUGACCAGUGCCAGGAUCUGAAUACUAAAACACACAGAUUCAAACUCCGACACCCUCCCUGGUGGGUGUACUUACCGUGCGGGUGUCGCCGUGAAAUUUGUCAGCAUCCAACAUAUAAAAAUGAAUGGGACACCAGUUUUCAACAUCACAGUCCCUCUGAAACAACUGGUAGUCAAUUAGCGUUUGUCGGCAGCAAAAGUCGAUUUUCUCCCCUGCACGUGGAGGUCAACACACAGAAGAGACUGAUGAUCCCCGCUAUGAGUGUAGCUAAGUGUGUCUAAGCAAACUGGCUCCAUCAGCCUCCUGAUGAGCAGGGCAGUGUGUGAGCCGCGGGGCUCUGCAGACUAAUGGCCAGGCAAGGAGGGCGCUUCCUUACUUUGGGGAGAAAAACGCGGAAGCCGCACUCGCUGUAAAUAAAUUCUAAUUAAAAUUUCAGGUGCAGUUACUGCAGCGUAACCCACGCCAAUAGAUGAGGCUCCCUCCGUGCUGUCCAGUCAUGUGAGCCAGGCUCAUUAUUGUACCUGUGUGUGUGGUUUAGCAAGUGAAACAUGUCUGUUUUCUGGAAAUUACAUGAGGGUGGAAAACCUUCCAAACAUGUUCAUUUAUUUGCUGUGGAAUUUGUUUAAUCCUCUUAAGAACAUUUACAAUGACAAACUUCUUAAAUAAGCAUCUUUGCCCGAGAGAUAUUUCCAGGCACAUGCGCCGAAAACUAGGACAACCCAGAAGCAAAAUCAAAUCCGUUUCAGCUGCACAGCACCACAGAUUGCGUCCAGUUUGCGAGUCAAGGAUUUUUUUCUCCACACCCUUUUACUCUUCUGCCCAAAUUAAUCAUCCUCUGCUUCUCUUGUAUAGUGAGUAUCGUAUGACUCAUCUUCUCUGCCUGUAAAAUGGAAAUGGGAGAUAAUUCUACCCAAUAAAAUGUCAUAGAACUAACCACCAAAAUUAUAUAUAUUAAAAAAAAAAAAGCCAGGGUUUUAUGCUGUCCAGGGAUAUGAAUCAUUUAUUUAAUGUGUCAAUUGUUACAAGAAUAAACUUUUCUAAAUGUAAAACCUCCUCAGAAAUCUUCAAGUACUUUUCAAGAAAAAUAUCACAGAAAAUUUCUGAAAAGUAUUUAAAGGAAAAUCAUUUUUAACUGAAUCAUAUUCUAGGCACACUGAAUAAAUUCUCUUUAGAGAACUCCUACUUUUUUUUUUAAUAAAUGACCUAUAAAAAUACACCCAGCAUUAAUCAGUAAAUCUUCAUUCCUUAUUUUUAAAAUCCUUAAGGCAUGCUAUUUUUCUUAAAUCAAAUGAGGAGGUAUUCUCAAGCCAAUGGACAACGGAAUUACCUAAGAGGACAUUGUAAAGCAGCAAGAGCAACUAGCAUAUUGCCAAGCAUUCUGCCUGAGAGUCACUCGUACCAUCUCAUUUUGACCUGACCGCUUGGAGGUGAGCUCCAUCAGCCCAUUUAACACAUGAAGAAACUGAGGCUCUGGGUGGUCAUGUUUCCAGUACUUGAUGGAGCCAGGAUCCAAACCCGGAUCUUUGUCUAUAGAGCCUGUGCCUUUACCAGAUCACACUUAACAUUUCUCAUUCUUCAAAUGCACUCAGUCCCCGAGGUAACACACCUUCCUUGCGUUUCUGAGAGUUUUAGGAAGUACUGAAUUACAAGGACUAAGCAGUCAUUUGUGUGGGAUAAUUUUUUAUUUUCUGAUUUUCCUGAAUCAGCUCAGGCUGAAUUCAUACUACUUACGAGGAGAAGUCCUGAGGCAGAGGAGAGAGGGGAAGAUAAGCCAGACAUAAACAAUUUCAAGAGAUCCAAUUCAUCAAGGAAGCAAAGUAUUAAAUAAACCACUUCAGCUACAUGCUUGUCAAUAAACCUUGGUGUCUCUGUCUCAGCCUGAAGGAGGGUAAACCCUCCAGCCCAUCUGCCUUCCAGCCACUUACCCUGGAUGAUCUUGGUUCCCUGACCUGUGACACGUGUGUUCUCCAGGGAAUCUUUGUAGCGAUUAAACGAUAAAACUAUAUGCAAAGGGGAUACUUAUUUGUUAGACAGUAGGCACUAAACAAAUAAUAAAAUUAUUUUAUUUCAUGAAAAUGGGAGGUAGGUCUCCCAAUUAAACUUUCCUGAUAGAAUCCCAACAAGGACAUUAAUUUAUCUGCCAGAAAUUGUAAAAUAACUUUUCUUUUUUAAAGGCUGUAUCCAUUCUCCCUACUUUUUACCAAUCCUGGCUGUUAUCCUGAAAAUCUAUUCCCAGAACUUGGCAUCCAUCUCCCAUAUUUAAAUCCUUAAAGUUUGAAAUUAUGAUGAAGCUUGGGCACAUAAAGAUUCACACCAUAAUUCACAGAAUAAACAAAGACCACAGGAACAGGGCCACCUCCAGAACCCAUGUGCUCAGGACAGGCUCCAAACUUCAUAAAAUCAGAUGUAUGCUGUUUGAACAGAAAGAAAAUUGAAUGUGAUCAAGGAGGCUGACAUAGAGCACUGGCUGGCUCACGAGACGACUCCUUCACCCCUCAUCUGAAUUAACUCAUCUAACAGUUAUCAGUUGAGCUCUAAUUAAAAGUAAAACAGGGGUAGGGUUGGAAAGUAACAUUUUUUCCUACAAUAUAUACAUAUUGUCAACUAAAAAUUGGCACUUGUCAUCUGCCUCUGAUUUGAUUAAGUCAUGAGCCACUUCAGCUGCUGACCUUGAACACCCUCUGAAAGUAGUUCAGGGUGGAGAUCAGGAAUGGGGCGCUCUGUGCUCUGGGAAA